AUUGAACGCUGGCGGCAGGCCUAACACAUGCACGUCGAACGAGUGGCGGACGGGUGAGUAAUGUCUGGGAAACUGCCCGAUGGAGGGGGAUAACUACUGGAAACGGUAGCUAAUACCGCAUACCAUCGGAUGUGCCCAGAUGGGAUUAGCGAGUAGGUGGGGUAACGGCUCACCUAGGCGACGAUCCCUAGCUGGUCUGAGAGGAUGACCAGCCACACUGGAACGUAGACACGGUCCAGACUCCUACGGGAGGCAGCAGUGGGGAAUAUUGCACAAUGGGCGCAAGCCUGAUGCAGCCAUGCCGCGUGUAUGAAGAAGGCCUUCGGGUUGUAAAGUACUUUCAGCGAGGAGGCGUUACUCGCAGAAGAAGCACCGGCUAACUACGUGCCAGCAGCCGCGGUAAUUC
rnacentral:rRNA from 1 species